rnacentral:rRNA from 1 species
GACAGAGGUGCCGAGCGUUAGGCGGAAUCACUGGGCUUAAAGCGUGUGUAGGCGGAUUGGUAAGUACCUUGUGAAAUCCCACGGCUUAACCGUGGAACUGCUUGGUAUACUGCUUAUCUUGGGCCACUUAGGGGCUACCGGAACAAACGGUGGAGCGGUGAAAUGCGUAGAUAUCGUUUGGAACGCCAAUGGUGAAAACAGGUAGCUGGGAGUGUGCCGACGCUGAGACACGAAAGCCAGGGGAGCAAACGGG